AGCACACUUCGUUUUCUUAAAAUCGGCAACAGUGUCCUAGUGUCUCGCUUAUGGGGAAGCCCAUGUUGCUAUUGCUCCGACGACGUGUUUUAAUUGCCCCAACAUUUUUGUGUUUUCAGAAUUUUAAGUGUCUCUAGGUUUUUUUACAGUUAACGGCUACAAAUAUUUGUGCGACACAAACCCCAAAAAAUUGGUUAAUAUCUAGUUUAGCCGAGCAUGUUUUACGUUAACUCAUUUAUUUACAUUACAUUACAAUAUUACAUUAGGUUAGGCUAAAUUUUUUACGUUACCUUAUUUAUUAACAAUACAUUAUAUAUUACAUUAGGUUAGGUUAGGUUAGGUUAGGUUAGAUUAGGUUAGGUUAUAUUAUAUUACGUUAUAUAGGUUAUGUUAGGUUAGGUUGGUUAGAAGAUGUAAGGCCGCCUAAAUUAGGUUACACGGUAAAAAAUUGAAUACCCCACUGUACUAUACUUCUUUAAGUGUACCGGUGAAAGUGUAGUUUCGUGGGGUAUCGGGCAUAUAUUUCUUUUAGUGGGCUUACCCACAUAUUAGUGUAGUACUUGAUAAGUGUGCGGUACACUUAUCAAGUUCUUUGUAGGAAUUCGCGCGGUAAUCGUCAGCCACCAUGUUGUCACUGCGUUGUGUGUUUCAGUGUGCAAACCUCCCAAUUAUUCCCCAUUGGGGAAUCAUGGGGAGGGUUCCCUACCCUCGUUUUUCAUACUUCACCCCUUCAAGUCCUGAGGCUGGUGUUUGCGUACACACCACCACAUGCACCAUUCCCAUACUGCCCCGUUUUCAAGUUAGUUGUUUUUUAAAACUUGGAGAGAAAUGGCAGUGUUAUAUGCAGCUGUGAUGUACGGUAGUGGAUUUAUCCCAUGUAUACCAUGGAAGCUUUUUCGUGUUUAGUGUGUUGGAACGAGAUUAAGGAGAGCGGCUGACGUCGACAUUGGCCAUGAAAUAGACUAUUUGUUAGGUACAAAUAUUCAGCCAUCGUUUUUUUUUAUUGUUUUUUUUUUCGCCAAAUGUAUUUUUGUUUUCGUCUUUCCUUUCGAAAUACAUCUCUGUAUUACACUGAA